rnacentral:misc_RNA from 1 species
CUCUCUCUCUCUCUCUCCCCUUCGCUUUGCGUGUAAAACCCAGAUUAGCAAUGGCGGACAAGCCAAGCAGAGCUCUGGUGUUGUACGGCGAUGGAUUGGCUCAAUUCGUUGAUCCAUCCCACACCCAUAUCCACUCCCUCGCAUCUAAAGCUGCCUGCGGCUUCUUAAGCCUUCCCAAUGCCCCUCCCUCAGAAAGCGAGGAUGAGAGGAUAGUAAGGGAGUUUGCAAAUCUGCUGGAUGCAUGUGAAGCUUAUCAAGACAUGAGUUUUGAGAAGAGUACAUUGAUGCCAACCAUUUCUCAGAGGUUCAUGGGAAUGAAGGCUGCUGUUAUCACAAAUAGUCCUUACCUGAAAUCUUUUGGCAGCAAGAUCGGCUUCAA